UACGUAGGGUGCGAGCGUUUGUCCGGAAUUAUUGGGCGUAAAGGGCUCGUAGGCGGUUUGUCGCGUCGGGAGUGAAAUCCACUGGCUUAACUGGUGGCUUGCUUUCGAUACGGGCAGACUGGAGGUAUGCAGGGGAGAACGGAAUUCCUGGUGUAGCGGUGAAAUGCACAGAUAUCAGGAGGAACACCGGUGGCGAAGGCGGUUCUCUGGGACGGUACUGACGCUGAGACGCGAAAGCGUGGGGGAGCGAACAGG
rnacentral:rRNA from 1 species